CCUACGGGGGGCUGCAGUGAGGAAUAUUGGUCAAUGGCCGGAAGGCUGAACCAGCCAUGCCGCGUGAAGGUCAGUGCCCUAUGGGCGUUAAACUUCUUUUGUGCGGGAGCAAUCAUGGUCACGUGUGGCCAGACGAGAGUACCGUACGAAUAAGCAUCGGCUAACUCCGUGCCAGCAGCCGCGGGACUACGGGGGAUGCAAGCGUGAUCCGGAUUUAUUGGGGUUAAAGGGUGCGUAGGCUGUGAGGUAAGUCAGCGGUGAAAUGCCCCCGCUCAACGGGGUGAAGUGCCAUUGAUACUGCCUUGCUGGAAUGCGGAUGCCGUGGGAGGAAUGUGUGGUGUAGCGGUGAAAUGCAUAGAUAUCACACAGAACACCGAUUGCGAAGGCAUCUCACGAAUCCGCGAUUGACGCUGAUGCACGAAAGCGUGGGUAUCAAACAGGAUUAGAUACCCCAGUAGUC
rnacentral:rRNA from 1 species